UACAGAGAGUGCAAGCGUUGUCCGGAAUUAUUGGGCGUAAAGGGCUCGUAGGCGGUUUGUCGCGUCGGGAGUGAAAACACUGGGCUUAACUCAGUGCUUGCUUCCGAUACGGGCAGACUAGAGGUAUGCAGGGGGAGAACGGAAUUCCUGGUGUAGCGGUGAAAUGCGUAGAUAUCUGGAGGAAUACCGGUGGCGGAAGGCGGCAUCCUGGACCGGCAUUGACGCUGAGUGAGCGAAAGCCCAGGGGAGCAAAGCGGG
rnacentral:rRNA from 1 species